rnacentral:rRNA from 1 species
UACAGAGGUCCCAAGCGUUGUUCGGAUUCACUGGGCGUAAAGGGUGCGUAGGCGGCCGGGUAAGUCUGACGUGAAAUCUCCGGGCCUAACCCGGAAACUGCGUCGGAUACUAUCCGGCUAGAGGAUUGGAAGGGAGACUGGAAUACUUGGUGUAGCAGUGAAAUGCGUAGAUAUCAAGUGGAACACCAGUGGCGAAGGCGAGUCUCUGGACAAUUCCUGACGCUGAGGCACGGAAGCCAGGGGAG